rnacentral:ncRNA from 1 species
GAUCUUAGUCUUACUAUUAGCUGUCUUUUGACUUACACAUGCAAGUAUCCGCACAACCGUGAGAACGCCCUUUACCCUCUACCAGGCUAAGGAGCAGGCAUCAGGCACAGAAUUCUAGCCCACAACACCUAGUUACGCCACGCCCCCAAGGGUCAUUCAGCAGUGAUAGACAUUGUUUCAUAAGCGUUAAGCUUGACUCAGUUAAAAAGAGCAGAGCCGGCCAAUACGGUGCCAGCCGCCGCGGUUACACCAAUAGGCUCAAGUUAAUAAACACUCGGCAUUUAAGCGUGGUUAAAAAAGUUAUACACAUAGAGUAAAACACACACUUAGCAGUAUAAAGCUUGCUGUUUGGAACAUUUACUACACGUAACUCUAACAACCUUUGAACCCACGACAACUAGAUAAACAAACUGGGAUCAGAUACCCCACUAUGCCUAGUCGUAAAAUACUGUCACGCCAGGGAACUACGAGCCUAGCUUAAAACCUAAAAGAUUUGACGGUGUCCCACCCACCUAGAGGAGCCUGUCCUACAAUCGAUAAUCCCCGCUUUACCUUACCAUCCCUUGCUUAGUUUGUAUACCUCCGUCGAAAGCCUACCACAUAAGUGUAAGUAGACUAAGGGGUCUUUUUAACCACCACGUCAGGUCAAGGUGCAACUAAUGGGGUGGCCGCGAGAUGGGCUACAAUUUCUAUGAUAGAACAGACGGAAAGCUAAAUGAAAAUUCUGCUUAAAGGUGGAUUUAGCAGUAAAAAGAGACUAGAGCCCCCCUUUUAACCAGGCACUGGGACAUGCACACACCGCCCGUCACCCUCUUCGAUAACAAAGUCCUCGCGAUAUUUUACUUAGAAGAGACAAGUCGUAACAUGGUAAGUGUACCGGAAGGUGCACUUAGUUCAACAAAAUGUAGCUUAACUAACAGCACUUCGCUUACACCGAACAGAUGUUUAAUAAUCUAAACCAUUUUGAGCCUAAAAUCUAGCCCAACACACCCCAUGCACAGCUUACACCCUUCCCACAAAACAAAACAUUCAGUUUAUCUAGUAGAGGUGAUCGAAAAACUUUUUGGAGCUUAAGACCAAGUACCGCAAGGGAAUGAUGAAAUAAAGAUGAAACAGACUUAAAGCCCCUAGAAGCAAAGAGUCUCCUUGUACCUUUUGUAUUAUGGCUUAACUAGUCAAAUGGAGCAAAAUAAACUUUUAGUUCUACAUCCCGAAACUAAGCGAGCUACUUCGAAAUAGCCUAAUAGGGCCAACCCGUCCCUGUCGCAAAAGGGUGGGAAAAUUUUCAAGUAGCGGCGAUAAACCUACCGAGCUCAGAGAUAGCUGGUUGUUUAGGAAAAGAAUUUUAGUUCAACUUCAAGCUUUUAUAUUGCCUAAAACAACAACCUAAGCUUGAAAGCUAUUCAAAUAAGGCACAGCUUAUUUGAAACAGGGUACAACCUCAAAACUAGGGUAAAAUCCCCAGCACUAACAAAAGUGGGCCUAAGGGCAGCCAUCUUUUAAAAAGCGUUAAAGCUUACUUCCACGUGCAAUUAAUCCCACUAACAACAUUCAACCCUCAACCAGUACUAAACAAUUUUAUACGCCUAUAAAAUAUCUUCUGUUAAGACUAGUAACAAGAAAUUGCCUUUCUCCUAAAUAUACGCUUAAACCAACUUUGACCGCCUACUGGUAUUUAACGCCAAUGCUUUACAUAUAGUAAACCUGUCUCGCAAACCCUAUAACCCCCAUAGCGUUACUCUAACACUAGCAUAUUACAGGAAAGAUUAAAAGAGAGCGAAGGAACUCGGCAAAUCUCAGCCCCGCCUGUUUACCAAAAACAUCGCCUCCUGCUCUAAUCUAUAGGAGGUCCAGCCUGCCCGGUGACAAAGUUUAACGGCCUCGGUACCCUGACCGCGCGAAGGUAGCAUAAUCACUUGUUCUUUAAAUAAGGACCUGUAUCAACGGCAUCACGAGGGCUAAACUGUCUCCCCUCUCUAAUCAGUGAACCUGAUCUCUUCGUGAAGAAGCGAAGAUACACAUAUAAGACGAGAAGACCCCAUGGAGCUUAAAACCAAAUAACAACCUUUUGUACACAGACCCUGACAGACAAAAUACCUGUUAGCUAGUUUUUGGCUGGGGCAUCCAAGGAGUACAACACAACCUCCCUGACACCUAUCUUAGAGCCACAACUCCAAGAAGCAGAAAACUGAUGUAAAAUGACCCGAUACUCAAUACCUGAUAAUCGAUCAACGAACCAAGUUACCCUGGGGAUAACAGCGCAAUCCAUUUCAAGAGCCCCUAUCGACAAAUGGGUUUACGACCUCGAUGUUGGAUCAGGGCAUCCCAGUGGUGCAGCCGCUACUAAAGGUU